rnacentral:misc_RNA from 1 species
UCGUGUUGCAAAUCUAUUUAAUCCACACGACUCUCGGCAACGGAUAUCUCGGCUCUCGCAUCGAUGAAGAACGUAGCGAAAUGCGAUACCUGGUGUGAAUUGCAGAAUCCCGCGAACCAUCGAGUCUUUGAACGCAAGUUGCGCCCGAGGCCACUCGGCCGAGGGCACGCCUGCCUGGGCGUCACGCCAAAACACGCUCCCAACCACUCUCAACGGGAAUCGGGAUGCGGCAUCUGGUCCCUCGUCUCUCAAGGGACGGUGGACCGAAGAUUGGGCUGCCGGCGUACCGCGCCGGACACAGCGCAUGGUGGGCGUCCUCGCUUUAUCAAUGCAGUGCAUCCGGCGCGCAGCUGGCAUUAUGGCCUUUGAACGACCCAACAAACGAAGCGCACGUCGCUUCGACCGCGACCCCAGGUCAGGCGGGACUACCCGCUGAGUUUAAGCAUAUAAACAAGCGGAGGAGAAGAAACUUACAAGGAUUCCCCUAGUAACGGCUAGCGAACCGGGAGCAGCCCAGCUUGAGAAUCGGGCGGCUGUGCCGUCCGAAUUGUAGUCUGGAGAGGCGUCCUCAGCGACGGACCGGGCCCAAGUCCCCUGGAAAGGGGCGCCUGGGAGGGUGAGAGCCUCGUCCGGCCCGGACCCUGUCGCCCCACUAGGCGCCGUCAACGAGUCGGGUUGUUUGGGAAUGCAGCCCAAAUCGGGCGGUAGACUCCGUCCAAGGCUAAAUACAGGCGAGAGACCGAUAGCGAACAAGUACCGCGAGGGAAAGAUGAAAAGGACUUUGAAAAGAGAGUCAAAGAGUGCUUGAAAUUGCCGGGAGGGAAGCGGAUGGGGGCCGGCGAUGCGCCCCGGCCGUAUGCGGAACGGCUCUUGCUGGUCCGCCGCUCGGCUCGGGGUGUGGACUGUUGUCGGCCGCGCCGGCGGCCAAAGCCCGGGGGCCCUAGGUGCCCCCGGUGGCCGUCGUCGGCACGGCCGGUACCCGCGCGCCGAAAGGCGUGUCCCUCGGGGCACUGCGCUGCAACGGCCUGCGGGCUCCCCAUCCGACCCGUCUUGAAACACGGACC